CAUGAGCUGAAUGUAGCAGGCCCUACACUCCAGCCAGCCUGCAGCCCCAUUGCAGCACAUUCCAGAGGGAGGGCUUCUCUUUGUAGGGCCUCACAGCUCCUCCGCUGCCUUGCAGUGUUCAUCCCUCCAGCCUGAAGCAGGCCCUCCCACCACGCGUGCACUGGGGCAGAGAACACACCAUGCUGUGAUCAAGGGAUCAGCAGUGCAACAGGACAUGCAGCCUGCAGUGAGAUGACUCAUUUCACAUGUACCUGGGGGUGCGGCAGGUACUACUCAGAGGUAUAAGUGGAUGAAAGGGAGCAGUUGCCUUAAGAAGUCCUCAUCCUUUCUCUCAGCUAUCCUGCACUGCAGUUCCCGUACCCUCAGUGGAACCAACAUGGCUGUUGUGGGGCUGUCAUGAAAAUUAAACAAAAAGGUAAUGAAAACGUUGCAGCCAGCAGAACUGUAGCAUGCAGCAGCACAAGAGCUCCAUAAAUUUAAAGCUGUUUGUCAUCUUCUUUGGAGAAAAAAAGAAGAAAUUUAAGAGACCCAUUGUAGCUUCACCGAGGAGCACAUCUUUGAGGGUGUCUUCGACUUCAUCAUGUGCUCAGUCUCUCACGGAAUGCACUGGCAUCAUUGCCUUCCUACAGCAGAGUUCAAUUUAUGUUUUUCAAAGCCGCCUCUUCUCAGUUGGCAGUAACUGACAAGCCUUGCCCAGGGCUUUGUUCACUGGAUAUGCCCUUCCAGGACAGUUUUCACUUGUAAUCUUUCCAGGGAUGUGUCAUCUCAAGUUUGUUUUACUUGGAUAACUAUUAAAAUCUCAUCAGCACAGCACUUUUUUGCCCCCCUAUAUUUAAUUAAAGGUGUGCAUUAUAACAGAAUCCUAUCAGUUCAAAAGAAAAGAGAACCUGAUCAACCACCAUGGAGCAACAUUAUCUGCUGGGCUACAGAAGGUUAGGAGUAAGAUGACCAAUGCUUUUAACCAAGUAAGGAAUAAAGAAGUUGAGCAAUCAAUAUGACCAGAGCACAGUUUCAAGCCCACAUAGGCAAACUGGUAUAGACCUCUCCAUGAAUGUCAGUGGCUGAUCGGACCUGAUGUGAGAUGAAAGACUGAAGUUCCCACAAAACCAUAUCAUUUUAGCAAAAUGCCUUGGUUUUAAACAGCACCUUGCACACUAAUCUUAUUAAGAAUAAUGCCUUCACUUGAUACAUAAAGAAAAAUGCUUUUCUGUCUCAUUGUACAUCUCAGUUUCAUGAUAUUUUGGCAGUGGAAUUUUUCUCUACCCAUUCUGACAGUCACUUGUUUUGCUCAGCACUGAAGAUCUCUCCCACCCAGUGACACAGCUAUUUGCAUAGAGUUCCCAGAGCUGCACUAAGCAAAACUAAUACGUCCCUGAAGCUACAAGUAGGAGGUCACGCUUCUGCUGUUCAUCUCUUACUAGCUCUGCUACUCACCAAACCCUAUCUUUGGCUAUUUUACUGUCUCAAAAUGGCAGGGGGGAGAGAUAGGGUUAGAUAGUUUUCUCCUGUAAUGUGUAGGAGGAUAUAUCAGCUCUCAAAAGGGCCUGACAAAAACUGUCCAAUGAAUGAGCAAAGCACAGCUCAGAUUAGGGAAGAGGUGCAAGACCUCCCCCUUCCCCAUAAGUAAAGUGGUGCCUCCUCCUGCCUGCUUUUCUGUUUGCAUUAUUUUUAACCUUAUCUGGUUCCCUGACUCAGUUCACAAUCCCCAAACAGUUGUGUCAACAACUGAGUGAAUGACAGCCUGAGUGUAGAAUUUCUUCAGCUUGUUUCUCUCUAAAGGCCACAUGUAGCCUGAGCAGUAUUUUGCUUCAGGCAAGUCUACCAUGUUCAUUUAAGAGAAGACUAAGUGUGGAGGUGUUACCAGCCUGAGGAAGAUAAAAUCUGGUGCAUUUAUCUUGUAGUAAGUUUAUAUUAAUCCACUGCACACUCUGCUCUACCAGAACAGAAAAAAUAACAUUACAAUUGAUGAGCAGCUAAGAUUGUGAUGUAUUCCAAAAUCACAGUUCUCAAGUUUGUCUUUUUACUUUCAAGGUUUAGUUUCUACAUAACGUUGAGGUAAGCUUUUGUACCUUACUAUCACUAAAGUUUCACAACUGCUCUCUACAGAUACAAAACUUUUGCACUAAAGAAGCUGUGAUAAUUCAGACUAUGUUUCAUAAAUCAUCUCAGAAAAAGCAAAUCUGAGCAGCAGGAAAGGACUCAAUUUGGCAAUGAGCCAGCCCCUUCACUUGCUUGAGAAAUGUUUGGCUUCAGGGAUACAUUUCAGAAAAACACUUUCAACUAUCACAGAAUCAUAGAAUUAUUAAAGUUGGAAAACACUUUCAGGAUCAUCAAGUCCAGUCAUCUCAUUGCUAAACCAUCUUUCUUAAAUACCUCCAGAGAUGGAGAUUCUACCACAUCCCUGGGAAGCUCAUUCCAGUGCUUGACCACCCUCUGUGAAGAAGUUCUUCACAAUGUCCAGUCUAAACAUCCCCUGGCACAGCUUGAGACUACUUCCUCACAUUUGAUCACUUCUCACCUGAGAAAAGAGACUGACAGAACAUUAUUUUGUGAUACCUUGCCAUUAGGAAAUAUGAGCUAAGUUUACUACUGUGAUUAGGUUGAUCAUCAAAACUGCAGAAAAAUAAUGAGAACAUUUAUCUUGACUAGGAUCUUCUGUGAAUACAUUAGUUCAGAAAGGGAAGUUUCCGCCAGCUGAGUUUGGGUGGCUACACAGCUAAUGUUUAGGAGAGUGUCUCAAAGACCAGCUACCAGGACACCAGCUGUACAUUGUGUGAAACCUCUUUCUCCACUAGACUUAGAAAAUCUGUGGAACGGCUAGACGCAGAAGAUCAUAACUUGACACUGACAUGUAGUUAACUGUUAGUGUCCUGCCUGUGUCAUGUAUUUGUCUGUUUCUAAAUGAAACUAAGAGCUCCUUUCAUUCAUUUUAUUUCACCAUUAAAUCUUGCCCAAUGAUAGGAUUUCAGGUUAGUAUAAGAAAUACUGGAAAAUUCCAUUCCCAGGGUGAAACCGGUCACUCUGUGGAUCAUGGACACAGCAAGUUCAGCAGAAACAAGUGCCUCCACUUAACAUUCCUGAGUUGUCCAUCUUCCACUGAGCUCCACGGCAGAAGGAAUUUUCUUCCUUCAUAAGCAGUAGAACAGCAAGUAAGAGACCUAAAGGUGAGAUUCCCUUUAGAUCUCUUUACAAUGGGUUGUGGCAUCUCUAGUCCAUGGAAAUAAAGAAGCUACCUUCUCUAUAAAAAAAAAAGUCCAGUGCAUUUAAAGAUCACUAUAUUCUUUUAAUACCAAAACAGUAAUUUCAUUUAUUUGACGUACUCCCACUUAAAUUUUUAUUUCCCCAACUCUAAAGACCCAUAAUUCUUUUUAAAAAAGGACAAAAGUAAUGAUCUGAGAUUGGCAAGCAGCAAGUCAAAGCUUCAUCUAAGUUCUAUUACUACAUUUCUCUCAUCACUCAUUAUUUGAGCUGCAAAAUAUAAACAUGCCCAGAUCCACUGCUAAACUAAAUCAGCUGAUAAGUAUGGAGCAGUACACACCUAAUAGAGAUAGUGUACUUUCAAAUGAUCCUUUGUAAUGCAAGCUGAGCGUGCUAAAACUGAGUGGUUUGGCUAUAUCAAAAUUCUCAAGCAAGUCAGACUGCUUAAAAAUUUUCACAUAAAGGCUAGUACAAACAAACAGUUUGGGAAGUAAUGCUACACACUAACAUCAUGCAAGAUCUUCAGUCACCUCCAUCUCUGCCAGCCAAGCUCAAAAGGAGAAGCAGCAGCUGAGGUAAAGAUGUCACUCAACACAGUGACCAAAAUGCAGAUCAAUUAUCAGACCUUAGAUGACACUUACAUUUUAUCCUUCCAAUGUUUCACUAAUUUUAAUGCUCAUUUAAGUGGGUCUUCUCAAAAGUUGUGAAAAUUUCUGGGUUAUACAUAACUAUAUAGUUACAGGAGUGCUUAACUUUCAGGGCAGUACUGCUGAUUUUCCCCAUUCCUGUCCUUAUCCCAUCCCACCUUUGUCUUUUUUAAGCAAUAAAUUUGGUCCAAUAAAAUUCCUUUCUGCUGGGCAUUUCUGUGAACUUUUUGAUCAGAUUAGAAAACGUUGUAAGCAUGAUCCUCAGUUCUCACAAGGCCUUCCCUCACUAAAUUACUGUCAUUCACCCAACUGACUUGUACUUCAGCAGAACUGUAACACAACUGCUCAGUGAUCUUGAGGAAGCAGCAGCAAACCUUUUCUCCUACUGUAAAUUCUCAG